GACGUAGGGCGCGAGCGUUGUCCGGAAUUAUUGGGCGUAAAGAGCUCGUAGGCGGCUUGUCGCGUCGGCUGUGAAAUCCCGUGGCUCAACUGCGGGUCUGCAGCCGAUACGGGCAGGCUAGAGUUCGGUAGGGGAGACUGGAAUUCCUGGUGUAGCGGUGAAAUGCGCAGAUAUCAGGAGGAACACCGAUGGCGAAGGCAGGUCUCUGGGCCGAUACUGACGCUGAGGAGCGAAAGCGUGGGGAGCGAACAGG
rnacentral:rRNA from 1 species